GAUGAACGCUGGCGGCGUGCUUAACACAUGCAAGUCGAACGGAAAGGCCCUGCUCUUGUGGGGUGCUCGAGUGGCGAACGGGUGAGUAACACGCGAGUAACAUGCCCUUGACUUUGGGAUAACUUCAGGAAAAUGGGGCUAAUACCGGAUAGGAGCUCCUGAUGCACGGUGGGGGUUGGAAAGUUUCGGCGGUUGGGGAUGGUCUCGCGGCUUAUCAGCUUGUUGGUGGGGUAGGGGCUUACCAAGGCUUUGACGGGUAGCCGGCCUGAGAGGGUGACCGGCCACAUUGGGCCUGAGAUACGGCCCAGACUCCUACGGGCGGCAGCAGUGGGGAAUAUUGCACAAUGGGCGGAAGCCUGAUGCAGCAACGCCGCGUGCGGGAUGACGGCCUUCGGGUUGUAAACCGCUUUCGCCUGUGACGAAGCGUGAGUGACGGUAAUGGGUAAAGAAGCACCGGCUAACUACGUG
rnacentral:rRNA from 1 species